rnacentral:rRNA from 1 species
CGGACGGGUGAGUAACACGUAGGUAACCUGCCCCAAUCGUGGGGGAUACCCAGCCGAAAGGUUGGCUAAUACCGCAUACGCUCGUUGGUUGAAAUACCGAUGAGGAAAGAUUUAUCGCGAAUGGAGGGGCCUGGGUCCGAUUAGCUAGUUGGUGAGGUAAUGGCUCACCAAGGCGACGAUCGGUAGCUGGUCUGAGAGGACGAUCAGCCACACUGGAACUGAGACACGGUCCAG